CGCGGGGUGGAGCAGCUCGGUAGCUCGCUGGGCUCAUAACCCAGAGGUCGCAGGUUCAAAUCCUGCCCCCGCUAC
rnacentral:tRNA from 45 species